rnacentral:rRNA from 1 species
UACGAAGGGGGCUAGCGUUGUUCGGAAUUACUGGGCGUAAAGAGCUCGUAGGCGGUCUGUUGCGUCCGCUGUGAAAACUCGGGGCUUAACCCCGAGCCUGCAGUGGAUACGGGCAGACUAGAGGUGAGGUAGGGGAGAAUGGAAUUCCCGGUGUAGCGGUGAAAUGCGCAGAUAUUGGGAGGAACACCAGUGGCGAAGGCGGCUUUCUGGUCUGCUCUUGACGCUGAGGCGCGAAAGCUAGGGUAGCAAACGGG